UACGUAGGGUGCAAGCGUUACUCGGAAUUACUGGGCUUAAAGCGUGCGCAGGCGGUUUUGUAAGUCUGUUGUGAAAUCCCCGGGCUUAACCUGGGAAUGGCGAUGGAGACUGCAAGGCUAGAGUUUGGCAGAGGGGGGUAGAAUUCCACGUGUAGCAGUGAAAUGCGUAGAGAUGUGGAGGAACACCGAUGGCGAAGGCAGCCCCCUGGGUCAAAACUGACGCUCAUGCACGAAAGCGUGGGGAGCAAACAGG
rnacentral:rRNA from 1 species